GCAAUGAGGAUGGGGAUAGAAUGCUAGUCGUGCGCCUUCUAGCCAUGCUGGAGGCGCGGCACACAGCUCAGUAGCACGUGGCUAACCUGCCCUUGGGACAGAAACAACCCCGGGAAACUGGGGCUAAUUUCCGAUAGGUGAAGAUUCCUGGAAUGGGUUUUCGCCUGAAAGGACGUUUGGGUCAUGCUUCUAGACGUUGCCCAAGGAUGGGGCCGCGGCCGAUCAGGCUGUUGGUGAGGUAAUGGCUCACCAAACCUUUGACCGGUUCGGGCCGUGGGAGCGGUAGCCCGGAGAUGGGCACUGAGACAAGGGCCCAGGCCCUACGGGGCGCAGCAGUCGCGAAAACUUCGCAAUAAGCGAAAGCUUGACGGGGCCAUCCCGAGUGCCAUCUGCUGAGGAUGGCUUUUACCCAGUAUAGAUAGCUGGGGGAAUAAGGAGAGGGCAAGUCUGGUGUCAGCCGCCGCGGUAAUACCAGCUCUCCGAGUUGUGGGGACGUUUAUUGAGCCUGAAGCAUCCGUAGCCGGCUGAGCAAGUCCCCUGUUAAAUCCAGCGACUAAUCGUUGGCCUGCGGGGGAUACUGCUCGGCUAGGGGGCGGGAGAGGCCGUCGGUAUUCUUGGGGUAGGGGUGAAAUCCUAUAAUCCCAGGAAGACCACCAGUGGCGAAGGCUGUCGGCUAGAACGCGCCCGACGGUGAGGGAUGAAAGCUGGGGGAGCGAACCGGAUUAGACACCCGGGUAGUCCCAGCUGUAAACUAUGCAAACUCAGUGAUGCAUUGGCUUGUGGCCAAUGCAGUGCUGCAGGGAAGCCGUUAAGUUUGCCGCCUGGGAAGUACGUACGCAAGUAUGAAACUUAAAGGAAUUGGCGGGGGAGCACCACAAGGGGUGAAGCCUGCGGUUCAAUUGGAUUCAACGCCGGG
rnacentral:rRNA from 1 species